CCUUGGGCGACUGCUGUGUUGCCCUCCUCUUGUCUUCUCUGGCUUUUUAUUGAUUUUUAUCUAUUUUUGCUUCAUUUAUUCACUUUAAAAGUUCAGAAAUGUGCGCUGGAAUGUAAAAAAUGACUGCCAACAAGUAAUCAACCUAUUAAGUGGACACAGUUUGCCAGGAAAAACGCAAUCUUCUGUUUUUAUCAACCUUCGAAGAAUAAAGUUAGAAAAAGUUCCAGAUUUGCGGGUUCCAAGACUUUUUGAAUG
ensembl:lincRNA linc-14 ncRNA